GACGAACGCUGGCGGCGUGCUUAACACAUGCAAGUCGAACGGAAAGGCCCUGCUUUUGUGGGGUGCUCGAGUGGCGAACGGGUGAGUAACACGUGAGUAACCUGCCCUUGACUUUGGGAUAACUUCAGGAAACUGGGGCUAAUACCGGAUAGGAGCUCCUGCUGCAUGGUGGGGGUUGGAAAGUUUCGGCGGUUGGGGAUGGACUCGCGGCUUAUCAGCUUGUUGGUGGGGUAGUGGCUUACCAAGGCUUUGACGGGUAGCCGGCCUGAGAGGGUGACCGGCCAAAUGGGAACGGGGAUCGGGCCCAAACUCUUCGGGGGGGCGGAGGUGGGGAAUAUGGACAAAGGGGCGGAGCCCGGAUGAGGAACCGCGCCGGGGGGAAUGACGGCCUUCGGUUGGAAAACGGCUUUGGCUUGGGCGGAAGCGUGAGUGACGUAAUGGGUAAAGAAGCACCGGCUAACUACGUG
rnacentral:rRNA from 1 species